GCCCGUUUAGCUCAGUGGUAGAGCGCGCGACCCGCAAUGGUGAGGUCGAUUGUUCAAUCCAGCCAAUGGAUA
rnacentral:tRNA from 2 species